GCAAGUCGAGGGGUAACAGAGUAGCUUGCUAUUGCUGACGACCGGCGCACGGGUGCGUAACGCGUAUAGAAUCUACCUUACACUGAGGGAUAGCCUUUGGAAACGAAGAUUAAGCCCUCAUGGUAUACUGAUUUGGCAUCAAGAUAGUAUUAAAGGUUACGGUGUAAGAUGACUAUGCGUUCUAUUAGCUAGAUGGUAAGGUAACGGCUUACCAUGGCAACGAUAGAUAGGGGCCCUGAGAGGGGGAUC
rnacentral:rRNA from 1 species